GACGAACGCUGGCGGCGUGCUUAACACAUGCGAGUCGAACGAUGAAGAAAAGAAUCGAAGCUUCGGCAGAAAUUCAUUUCGGAUUAGUGGCAGACGGGUGAGUAACGCGUGAGCAACCUACCUCUUACAAAGGGAUAGCCUCGGGAAACCGGGAUUAAUACCAUAUAACAUUGUGACGAAGCAUUUCGAUGCAAUCAAAGCUACGGCGGUAAGAGAUGGGCUCGCGUCCCAUUAACCGGAUGGUGAGGUAACGGCUCACCAUAGUGACGAUGGGUAACCGGCCUGAGAGGGUGAACGGUCACACUGGAACUGAGACACGGUCCAGACUCCUACGGGAGGCAGCAGUGGGGAAUAUUGCACAAUGGAGGGAACUCUGAUGCAGCGACGCCGCGUGAGUGAUGAAGGAAUUCGUUUCGUAAAACUCUGUUCUAUGGGAAGAAAAGGACUGUACCAUAGGAGAAAGCUCCGGCUAAAUACGUG
rnacentral:rRNA from 1 species